UACGGGGGGAGCAAGCGUUGUUCGGAUUUACUGGGCGUAAAGGGCGCGUAGGCGGUCAGCACAAGUCAGUUGUGAAAUCUCCGGGCUUAACUCGGAAAGGUCAACUGAUACUGUGCGACUAGAGUGCGGAAGGGGCAACUGGAAUUCUCGGCGUAGCGGUGAAAUGCGUAGAUAUCGAGAGGAACACCUGCGGCGAAGGCGGGUUGCUGGGUCGACACUGACGCUGAUGCGCGAAAGCCAGGGGAGCGAACGGG
rnacentral:rRNA from 1 species